UACAUUUAAACAUAAUGGAUGGCAUUAGAGGAAGACGGGAGGUGUCAGUAUUAAGGUGAAUUGUAAUAAAACGGCUUAGAAAGGAUUUUAAAAACAAGGAGGCAAGGUGUCGGUAAUAAAAUUGCAAGUCAUUUUACCGAUAAAAAGUUUAAAACAGUGGCAAACAAAAAGAAAAAAUCACAAAACAAUGGCAGCAGGAUACCUCGGUGUCAACAUCCAGAAGAAAUCUGGAAAAUGUGACCAGAGGAUGGUAAAGAAGUCUGAACUGAAGAUUUCGCAAGCACAAGUUGACUGCACAGCGUGACAACUGAACUUGCAGGUGAUGGCAAAGCUGAAGCUGCUGGUCCAGAGACCACCCUGUGAGCCACCAGAGCAGAGGAUGUGACCGCAAGAAGAGAACUGAGACUGCGUAAGGCUGACGGAGUGGGGCCAUGCCAUGCUUCUCCCCAAACCAGCGCCGGUUCCUGCAGAUCUAGCCAUCUCUAGGAAGUGCGCUCUCAGGACUGCACUGGGAGAGGUGCUGGUGCCUGGGCUCUGCAUAUGUCAUCCUCUCUGUUUAGCCUAGUGAGGGUAGAACGAGUGAAGAGAGAGGGAUUCAAGCUGGAACAAGGACUCAGAGGAAAGCGGGCGGAGAGACUGCUAUAGGGAACAAGCUAUGAAACUGCAGGCCCCAGGGAGGAGAUGCCAGCCCUCCACACGCAGCCUGCACGCAGAGGUCUAUCCAAGCUGAGCACCCCUCCCCCUGGACGAUCAAACUGGAGGGCACACACACCUGUCCCGAACUUCCUACUUCUGCCAAGCAGGGUCUUUUCUGACACUUGACUGUGGCCCACUUUUUCUGUGUUCUGUCUGUCUCGCUUAUUAUGAAGUCUGAGCAGAGGAAGCAAUUUUUUUCCCUCUUGUACUGUUAGGAACUAGGCAAAGCACUAAGGCGCACACUGGGUAUCUGCUAAAUACCUACGAGAACUGGCCUGCGAGUCCGGCUGUCUUCAUCUCAGUUCUCGGGGCGCGCACGGGCCAGGCUUUGCUUGGGUGCGUCUUUGCCCUCUGAGGACUCAAUUCCUUCCCAAAGCAAUAAGCUUUGCUACAAUCCAGGAACUGACUCUAGUACUUUUAAAAGUUCUGUUCAGCUCUAAGCGGCUAGAGUAGGGCCCCUGUGUCCUCCUCAUUUGCUGUCUGGUAUGAGGUUCCAAUGCAAGAUUCUGGGAGCAGGUAGUACUUCCCAAACCUGAAUUCUUCUCAGGAGCACUGCAUCUGCAUGCACAGCACGGUGCAGGAGGUGGGAUUUCAGCACAUAACCACCAGAUCUGGGGCUCUUCCAGCUGUCUUCUUGGCUAGGACUUCACAGUCCAUCUUGCACUGAAGGUUUUUGCUAAAAUUGCCUAAGGAAACUAGAGGAGUGAGCCCUGGCAGCAGAAAGGGGACUAAAAUAGAUGUUCUUCUUUUAAAAACCCACAGGCAACCAGGAGGCCAGAGAAAUAGAUUGACAGGGCCCACCUACAGAGACUCCAGUGGGGGAGGGACAGUGAAGGCUGGGGCAGCCUGGGAACUCAGGGCUCUGCCAUUCCCCGUUGGCCUAGAAUCCAGCC
ensembl:lncRNA